GUCAUGCCAAUAGGACAAUUCUACUCAUCAUGUACCUGCAGGAAAUGCCCAGUGUGCAGGGGUUUCUUUUGGAAAUAUUUUGAUCGCUGGGGUAUUUUGACCCUCCUGGGACAUCACUGAUGUUGGUGGAUAGAGAUAAAGGACACAAAACAAUGCAGGGGAUGCCUCCUAUCCAGACUAGGAUACUAGAGUGAUAUAUGUCCAAUGCAGAAGAGAGACGUUGAAGAGAAACACUACAAUUUAUUGGAGCCAGUGAACUUGUUCAGCAUAUGUGUCAAGUUUAAAUGUUGUUAAUGACAUAGCCCUCCACGUUUGAAACACUUCGAUGCAUUAGUAAAAAUUUUAUUAGACCAUCCAACAAUAUAAUUUCAAAUGAGAAGUCUUGAAAACCAGGGAUGUUUACUCUAUAUUUUGAACCUUUUAAAUAUGUGUUAUAUUAUUAUGGAAAACUCAGUGAAUGAAUCUACUGACAAUUUGCA